GUGAACGCUGGCGGUAGGCCUAACACCUGCCAGUCGAACGGCAGCACAGUAAGAGCUUGCUCUUACGGGUGGCGAGUGGCGGACGGGUGAGGAAUACAUCGGAAUCUACUUUUUCGUGGGGGAUAACGUAGGGAAACUUACGCUAAUACCGCAUACGACCUACGGGUGAAAGCAGGGGAUCUUCGGACCUUGCGCGAUUGAAUGAGCCGAUGUCGGAUUAGCUAGUUGGCGGGGUAAAGGCCCACCAAAGCGACGAUCCGUAGCUGGUCUGAGAGGAUGAUCAGCCACACUGGAACUGAGACACGGUCCAGACUCCUACGGGAGGCAGCAGUGGGGAAUAUUGGACAAUGGGCGCAAGCCUGAUCCAGCCAUACCGCGUGGGUGAAGAAGGCCUUCGGGUUGUAAAGCCCUUUUGUUGGGAAAGAAAAGCAGCAGGUUAAUACCCCGCUGUUCUGACGGUACCCAAAGAAUAAGCACCGGCUAACUUCGUG
rnacentral:rRNA from 1 species